rnacentral:rRNA from 1 species
UGAGCAAUCUGCCCUUCUCAUCGGAAUAAGCGUUGGAAACGACGUCUAAUGCCGAAUACGACCUCCUUUCGCAUGAUCGGAGGUGGAAAGCUCCGGCGGAGAAGGAUGAGCUCGCGGCCUAUCAGCUUGUUGGUGUGGGUAAUGGCCCACCAAGGCGACGACGGGUAGCCGGCCUGAGAGGGUGACCGGCCACACUGGGACUGAGACACGGCCCAGACUCCUACGGGAGCAG